rnacentral:rRNA from 1 species
UACGGAGGGGGCAAGCGUUGUUCGGAGUCACUGGGCGUAGAGGGCAUGCAGGCGGUCUUGUAAGCUUGGCGUGAAAGACCACGGCUCAACCGUGGGAUUGCGUUGAGAACUGCGAGGCUUGAGUGACGGAGAGGGAGCUAGAAUUCCUGGUGUAGGGGUGGAAUCUGUAGAGAUCAGGAAGAAUACCAAUGGCGAAGGCAAGCUCCUGGCCGAUGACUGACGCUGAGGUGCGAAAGUGUGGGGAUCAAACAGGAUUAGAUACCCUGGUAGUCCACACUGUAAACGAUGUGCACUAGGUGCUGGUACGGAUGUAUCAGUGCCGUAGCUAACGUGAUAAGUGCACCGCCUGGGGAGUAUGCUCGCAAGGGUGAA